rnacentral:rRNA from 1 species
UGCAAGUCGAACGGUAGAGGGGGCAACCCCUUGAGAGUGGCGAACGGGUGAGUAAUAUAUCGGAACGUGCCCAGUCGUGGGGGAUAACGUAGUGAAAAUUACGCUAAUACCGCAUACGAUCUAAGGAUGAAAGCGGGGGAUCGCAAGACCUCGCGUGAUUGGAGCGGCCGAUAUCAGAUUAGGUAGUUGGUGGGGUAAAGGCCCACCAAGCCAACGAUCUGUAGCUGGUCUGAGAGGACGACCAGCCACACUGGAACUGAGACACGGUCCAGACUCCUACGGGAGGCAGCAGUGGGGAAUUUUGGACAAUGGGCGAAAGCCUGAUCCAGCCAUUCCGCGUGCAGGAUGAAGGCCCUCGGGUUGUAAACUGCUUUUGUACAGAACGAAAAGGUUUCUACUAAUACUAGGAGCUCAUGACGGUACUGUAAGAAUAAGCACCGGCUAACUACGUGCCAGCAGCCGCGGUAAUACGUAGGGUGCAAGCGUUAAUCGGAAUUACUGGGCGUAAAGCGUGCGCAGGCGGUUAUAUAAGUCAGAUGUGAAAUCCCCGGGCUCAACCUGGGAACUGCAUUUGAGACUGUAUAGCUAGAGUACGGUAGAGGGGGAUGGAAUUCCGCGUGUAGCAGUGAAAUGCGUAGAUAUGCGGAGGAACACCGAUGGCGAAUGCAAUCCCCUGGACCUGUACUGACGCUCAUGCACG